CUACGGGUCGCAGCAGUUAGGUAUAAUCUACAAUGCGCGCAAGCGUGAUAGUUUGAGCCAGAGUGCGUUCCACUAGGAAUGCUUUUGCCAAAUGUAAAAAGUUUGGCGAAUAAGGACUGGGUAAGACGAGUGCCAGCCGCCGCGGUAAUACUCGCGGUCCAAGUCGCAGCCAUUUUUAUUGGGUCUAAAACAUCCGUAGCUUGUUUAGUCAGUUUCCUGUGAAAUCCGGCUUCUCAAGAGUUGGGCGGGCAGGAAAUACUGCUGAACUAGAGACCGGGAGACGUAAGGAGUAUGUUUGAAGUAGCGGUAAAAUGUUUUAAUCUCAGACAGACUAACAACAGCGAAGGCACCUUACGAGAACAGUUCUGACAGUAAGGGAUGAAGGCCAGGGGCGCAAAACGGAUUAGAUACCCCCGUAGUC
rnacentral:rRNA from 1 species